rnacentral:rRNA from 1 species
AAGCAACGCGAAGAACCUUACCAGGCCUUGACAUGCAGAGAACUUUCCAGAGAUGGAUUGGUGCCUUCGGGAACGUCUGACACAGGUGCUGCAUGGCUGUCGUCAACUCGUGUCGUGAGAUGUUGGGUUAAGUCCGUAACGAGCGCAACCCUUGUCCUUAGUUACCAGCACGUUAUGGUGGGCACUCUAAGGAGACUGCCGGUGACAAACCGGAGGAAGGUGGGGAUGACGUCAAGUCAUCAUGGCCCUUACGGCCUGGGCUACACACGUGCUACAAUGGUCGGUACAAAGGGUUGCCAAGCCGCGAGGUGGAGCUAAUCCCAUAAAACCGAUCGUAGUCCGGAUCGCAGUCUGCAACUCGACUGCGUGAAGUCGGAAUCGCUAGUAAUCGUGAAUCAGAAUGUCACGGUGAAUACGUUCCCGGGCCUU